AAUGCAUUCAUCAGCAUGACGUCAGGAUGCAAGUUACCAUGCCUGAAUAAAAAACUGCGUUUAUAAUUUCACUUCAUAUACGUUAUAUGGAAGAGUAUGCGCGCCAAAAGGCAUAAAGAGAAGAGGAGCAAAGGCGCGUAUCAGACUAAAGAGCAGACGAAAACAGUUUAACGGGUUAAAUGGUUGAGGGCUGGAGGUUUUGACUUCAUGUGAUCUUGCGAAAGAAUAUUUUUGUGUGACAUGUUUAGUAAAACCUGAGGCAUUCGUAAAGUCGUAAAGUGUUUUAACCUGCAUCAUAAGAGAAGUAUGUCUACUGAAGAAUUCUAUGACCAGUAUUAAUGUCCAAUAUUGCCUUUGCCUACAUAAUAAGAGGCAAAAUAUUCUCAAUGACGACAGUGGUGGUGGUGGUGAUGAUGAUGACUUUAAAACAGUAAUUCUCAUAUGAA